rnacentral:rRNA from 1 species
GACGAACGCUGGCGGCGCGCUUAACACAUGCAAGUCGAACGGAAAGGCCUGCUUUCCCUUGUGGAUUGCGGGUACUCGAGUGGCGAACGGGUGAGUAACACGUGAGUGAUCUGCCCCCAACUUGGGUAUAAGCCUGGGAAACUGGGUCUAAUUCCCGAUAGGACUGCAGGGUGGUGCCUGUGGUGGAAAACGAUUUUCUAGUGGUUGGGGAUGAGCUCGCGGCCUAUCAGCUUGUUGGUGGGGUAAUGGCCUACCAAGGCGGCGACGGGUAGCCGGCCUGAGAGGGUGGACGGCCACAUUGGGACUGGGUCACGGCCCCGACGCCUACGGGAGGCAGGAGUGGGGAAUAUUGGACAAUGGGCGGAAGCCUGAUGCAGCGACGCCGCGUGGGGGAUGACGGCCUUCGGGUUGUAAACUCCUUUCGACCGCGAGGAAGCCACCUGGUUGGAAGGGUGGUGACGGUAGUGGUAGAAGAAGCACCGGCUAACUACGUG